rnacentral:rRNA from 1 species
AGUGAACGCUGGUGGCGUGCUUAACACAUGCAAGUCGAACGAGAACGGAUUAUAGCUUGCUAUAAUUGUCAGCUAAGUGGCGCACGGGUGAGUAAUAUAUAGAUAACCUGCCCUCUAGAAAGGAAUAACAGUUGGAAACGACUGCUAAUGCCCUAUAUGCCUUUAAUACAUAAGUAUGCAAGGGAAACGCUUUAGUGCUAGAGGAUGGGUCUGUAUGGUAUCAGCUUGUUGGUGAGGUAAUGGCUCACCAAGGCUAUGACGCCUAACUGGUUUGAGAGGAUGAUCAGUCGCACUGGAACUGAGACACGGUCCAGACUCCUACGGGGGGCAGCAGUGGGGAAUAUUGCACAAUGGACGAAAGUCUGAUGCAGCAACGCCGCGUGGAGGAUGACACAUUUCGGUGCGUAAACUCCUUUUAUAUAGGAAGAUAAUGACGGUACUAUAUGAAUAAGCACCGGCUAACUCCGUGCCAGCCGCCGCCGUAAGAC